GAUGAACGCUGGCGGCGUGCCUAAUACAUGCAAGUCGAGCGAACAGACGAGGAGCUUGCUCCUCUGACGUUAGCAGCGGACGGGUGAGUAACACGUGGAUAACCUACCUAUAAGACUGGGAUAACUUCGGGAAACCGGAGCUAAUACCGGAUAACAUGUUGAACCGCAUGGUUCAACAGUGAAAGACGGUUUUGCUGUCACUUAUAGAUGGAUCCGCGUCGCAUUAGCUAGUUGGUAAGGUAACGGCUUACCAAGGCAACGAUGCGUAGCCGACCUGAGAGGGUGAUCGGCCACACUGGAACUGAGACACGGUCCAGACUCCUACGGGAGGCAGCAGUAGGGAAUCUUCCGCAAUGGGCGAAAGCCUGACGGAGCAACGCCGCGUGAGUGAAGAAGGUCUUCGGAUCGUAAAACUCUGUUAUUAGGGAAGAACAAAUGUGUAAGUAACUAUGCACGUCUUGACGGUACCUAAUCAGAAAGCCACGGCUAACUACGUG
rnacentral:rRNA from 1 species